rnacentral:rRNA from 1 species
UACAGAGGGUGCAAGCGUUGUUCGGAAUUAUUGGGCGUAAAGCGCGUGUAGGCGGCUUUGCAAGUCGGGUGUGAAAGCCCUCAGCUCAACUGAGGAAGUGCGCCCGAAACUGCAGAGCUUGAGUACCGGAGAGGAUGGCGGAAUUCCCCAAGUAGAGGUGAAAUUCGUAGAUAUUGGGAGGAACACCAGUGGCGAAGGCGGCUUACUGGACCGGAACUGACGCUGAGGCGCGAAAGCGUGGGGAGCAAACGGG